AGCCUUCCCGAAAAACUCGUAAGAGGCCUCGAUCACCAUUGCCAGUUAUUGAAGGAGCAACACCUGUAUCUUUACCGUCUUCUGGUGGUUUUAAUGGGCUUGGUAUCGAAUCAAUUAUAAAGGAACCUAGUAAAGUUAUGUGGCGACAGCAAUCUAUGCAAUUGCACAUAAACAAUGUUGCUUUU